AUGAGCAUGCUGAUAUGUCUCAAAAGAUUAAGCAGAUGCGUGAAGAGAUGGAAAAAAAGUUAUAGCAGGACUGCGAGGUCAUGGAAAAGAAAUUCCAGUUGGCGUACAAGGAGCUGCGGCUUAAAUUGCAAAAGGACCGGAAGGUUGUCGACGGCCUUAUACAGACAGAGCGUGUCAACAUGGACGCAAAUGUGUUGCAGGCACGUGCCAAUAUGGACAUUAGGUUGCAACAGGAGCGCGAGGACAUGGACUACAAGGCUAUGA
rnacentral:rRNA from 1 species